rnacentral:rRNA from 1 species
AACGAACGCUGGCGGCAGGCCUAACACAUGCAAGUCGAACGCCGUAGCAAUACGGAGUGGCAGACGGGUGAGUAACGCGUGGGAACAUGCCCUUUGGUUCGGAAUAACUCAGGGAAACUUGAGCUAAUACCGGAUAAGCCCGAGAGGGGAAAGAUUUAUCGCCGAAGGAUUGGCCCGCGUCCGAUUAGCUAGUUGGUGAGGUAAUGGCUCACCAAGGCGACGAUCGGUGGCUGGUCUGAGGGGAUGAUCAGCCACACUGGGACUGAGACACGGCCCAGACUCCUACGGGAGGCAGCAGUGGGGAAUAUUGGACAAUGGGCGCAAGCCUGAUCCAGCCAUGCCGCGUGAGUGAUGAAGGCCCUAGGGUUGUAAAGCUCUUUCGCCAGGGACGAUAAUGACGGUACCUGGAUAAGAAGCCCCGGCUAACUUCGUGCCAGCAGCCGCCGUAACAC